rnacentral:pre_miRNA from 1 species
CAAUCUCCAUCUUCCACCGUUGGAUCGAAAAAUGGACGUCCGAGAUUCGUCCACGUCACCAUCAGUUAAAAAUUAACUCUCAUUAAGUUUUAACUCAUGGGUAAAUCUGCGAGUCAAUUUUUAACUCAUGGUGACGUGGACGAAUCUCGGACGUCCAUUUCUCGAUCCAACGGUGGAAGAUGGAGAUUG